rnacentral:rRNA from 1 species
AUGGAGAGGAAGGAGGGCGGGGAGAAGAUGGAGGAGGUGGAGGUGGGCGACGGCGGGAAGAAGCCGGAGGAGGGGACCAAGCCGGCGCCGGUGUGCUUCAAGAAGCCGGCGGGCGAGGACACCGGCAUCCUGGAGACCACCAAGGACUACUUCAAGCAGCUCGGGAACACCAGCGCCGACACGCACUGGGACUGCAUCAAGAACAGGGUCCGCGCCGCCGGCGAGUACAUCUCCAACAAGACCAGCUCGGUGGCGAUUGACCUGUGCAGGCAUCCGGAUUUCUUGAUUCUUGCUAUCAAAGUUGGGGUGACCUUGCUAGUCGCUGCCUCUGUGUUUGGCAGGCAGAAGGUGGAGCCUGAGGCCAAGGAGGAGACCCGGGGGGCGAAGCCAGAAGCAGCACCGGCGGCAGCUGAGUCUCAGUGA